rnacentral:rRNA from 1 species
AUGCAAGUCGAACGAGAAAGUAGCAAUAUGAGUAAAGUGGCGGACGGGUGACUAAUACCUAGGUAAUCUCCCUGCGAUUGGGGAAUAACGUUCCGAAAGGAACGCUAAUACCGCAUACGGAUCCUUGUCGUAGGACAAGUAUCUAAAGGGGGCUCUCGCAAGAGGCUCUCGAUUGCAGAUGAGCCUGGGUCCCAUUAGCUAGUUGGUAGGGUAAUGGCCUACCAAGGCUACGAUGGGUAGCUGGUCUGAGAGGACGACCAGCCACACUGGAACUGACACACGGUCCAGACUCCUACGGGAGGCAGCAGUGGGGAAUAUUGCGCAAUGGAGGAAACUCUGACGCAGCGACGCCGCGUGGGUGAUGAAGGCCUUCGGGUUGUAAAGCUCUGUCGGCUGGGAAAAAGAUUCUUGUGCUAAUACCACAGGAGUUUGAUGGUACCAGCAAAGGAAGCACCGGCUAACUCUGUGCCAGCAGCCGCGGUAAUACAGAGGGUGCAAGCGUUGUUCGGAAUUACUGGGCGUAAAGGGCGCGUAGGCGGCUUUGUAAGUCAGAUGUGAAAACCCGGGGCUUAACUCCGGAAGUGCAUUUGAAACUAUAAGGCUAGAGUGCAGUAGAGGUUGGCGGAAUACCCAGUGGAGAGGUGAAAUUCGUAGAUAUUGGGUAGAACACCGGUGGCGAAGGCGGCCAACUGGGCUGUAACUGACGCUGAGGCGCGAAAGCAUGGGGAUCAAACAGGAUUAGAUACCCUGGUAGUCCAUGCUGUAAACGAUGGGUACUCGCUGUGGCUGGUAUUGACCCCGGCCGUAGCUAAGUUAACGCGUUAAGUACCCCGCCUGGGAAGUACGGUCGCAAGAUUAAAACUCAAAGGAAUUGACGGGGGCCCGCACAAGCGGUGGAUUAUGUGGUUUAAUUCGAAAGCACGCGCAAAACCUUACCUAGCCUUGACUUGUCCCGG